UUGCUAUUUCCUUCUACAGUUCAUUUUAUAGCUGAGGAAUGGAGGUAAACAGGGUUCAGUGACUUGCUCAGGGUCCCACAGUGUUUAAGACCAGAUCUAAGUUCAAGAAGACUUAGACUCCAGGGCUCGUACUCUAUCCACUUCGCCAUAUAAUACAGAAUGGCAACUAGAUGGAACGAUGGAUAGAGCACUAGACCUGGAGUUAGGAAGACUUGUGUUUUAAUUUGACAUCAGACACUAACCAGCUGUGUAACUCUGGGUGGGAUAAUUUGAAGAGGAUGGAAAGAAGGGAAUGAACAUUGAAGGAUGGGAUUUGAACAAUGACAGCCAGGAGUUCAGAAACACUGAGGGAAAGAGAAUAUAAAGGGCUUCUCUGCUUCUCUAUUCACCAUGAAGCCAAGAUCCCAAAGGAACAACAAUAUAAAGGACUUCAGAGAUCAUCAAGACAAAUGAGAAAACUGAAGGACCCCAGACUGUCUGAAGCCUGGAAUGUUCUAGAAUUCUGGUUGGGAAUGAGGACUGGAAUUGUUAUUUCAUUGAUCUAGGGAACUCUCGUGUGUAGCAGAAAGGAUGAAGAUCAGCAAGGGCAUACACAAACCACAGUUUAUUUAACCUUUCCCUAGAUAAUAAAGGUUGACCAUGAUUGGCA
rnacentral:lncRNA from 1 species